rnacentral:rRNA from 1 species
AAUGAACGCUGGCGGCGUGCCUUAUACAUGCAAGUCGAGCGAACAGACGAGUAGCGUUCCUCACUAGUGUCAGCGGCGGGCGGAAAAUUAACACAUGGACAACCUACUUAUAAGAAUGGGAGAACUACCUGAAACAGUAGCUAAUACACGCUAAGAUUUUGAACCGGAUAGUUAAAAAGAAAACGACGCUCUUGCUGUUACUUAUAGAUGGAUCCGCGCUGCAUUAGCUAGUUGGUAAGGUACAGGCUUACCAAGGAAACGAGGCAUAGCUGACCUGAGAGGGUGAUCAGCCACACUGGAACUGAGACACGGUCCAGACUCCUACGGGAGGCAGCAGUAGGGAAUCUUAGGCGAUGGGCGAAAGCCUGACGGAGCAACGCCGCGUGAGUGAUGAAGGUCUUCGGGUCGUAAAACUCUGUUAUUAGGAAAGAAAAUUUGUCUAAUUAAAUGUGCACCUCAUGACGAUACCUAAUGAAUAAGCCACGGCUAACUACGUG